GACGAACGCUGGCGGCGUGCUUAACACAUGCAAGUCGAACGGAAAGGCCCUGCUUUUGUGGGGUGCUCGAGUGGCGAACGGGUGAGUAACACGUGAGUAACCUGCCCUUGACUUUGGGAUAACUUCAGGAAACUGGGGCUAAUACCGGAUAGGAGCCCCUGCUGCAUGGUGGGGGUUGGAAAGUUUCGGCGGUUGGGGAUGGACUCGCGGCUUAUCAGCUUGUUGGUGGGGUAGUGGCUUACCAAGGCUUUGACGGGUAGCCGGCCUGAGAGGGUGACCGGCCACAAUGGGCCUAAGAGAGGGCGCAGACUCGUACGGGAGACAACGGUGGGAAAUAUUGCACAGUGGGCGGAAGCCUGAUGCGGCAACGCCGCGUGCGGGAUGACGGCCUGCGGGUUGUAAACCGCUUCCGCCUGUGACGAAGCGUGAGUGACGGUAAUGGGUAAAGAAGCACCGGCUAACUACGUG
rnacentral:rRNA from 1 species